CUGCGGAGUGUACAAGAACUUGUGAGUAGUGUGUUGCUUGCAACCACCAAAACAUACACGUUGAAGCAGUAA
rnacentral:sRNA from 1 species